rnacentral:rRNA from 1 species
AUUGAACGCUGGCGGCAGGCCUAACACAUGCAAGUCGAGCGAGCGGCGGACGGGUGAGUAAUGUAUGGGGACUGCCCGAUAGCGGGGGAUAACUACUGGAAACGGUGGCUAAUACCGCAUACUGUCGGAUACUCCCUAUGGGAGUAGCUAGUAGGUAAGGUAAUGGCUUACCUAGGCGACGAUCCCUAGCUGGUAUGAGAGGAUGAUCAGCAACACUGGGACUGAGACACGGCCCAGACUCCUACGGAGGCAGCAGUGGGGAAUAUUGCACAAUGGGCGAAAGCCUGAUGCAGCCAGGCCGCGUGUAUGAAGAAGGCCCUAGGGUUGUAAAGUACUUUCAGUCGGGAGGCGUUACCGACAGAAGAAGCACCGGCUAACUCCGUGCCAGCAGCCGCGGUAAUAC